rnacentral:rRNA from 1 species
UACGGGAGUGGCAAGCGUUAUCCGGAAUUAUUGGGCGUAAAGCGUCCGCAGGCGGCCUUGUAAGUCUGUCGUUAAAGCGUGGAGCUCAACUCCAUUUGAGCGAUGGAAACUACAAGGCUUGAGUGUGGUAGGGGCAGAGGGAAUUCCCGGUGUAGCGGUGAAAUGCGUAGAUAUCGGGAAGAACACCAGUGGCGAAGGCGCUCUGCUGGGCCAUAACUGACGCUCAUGGACGAAAGCCAGGGGAGCGAAAGGGAUUAGAUACCCCUGUAGUCCUGGCCGUAAACGAUGAACACUAGGUGUCGGGGGAAUCGACCCCCUCGGUGUCGUAGCUAACGCGUUAAGUGUUCCGCCUGGGGAGUACGCACGCAAGUGUGAAACUCAAAGGAAUUGACGGGGGCCCGCACAAGCGGUGGAGUAUGUGGUUUAAUUCGAUGCAACGCGAAGAACCUUACCAGGGUUUGACAUCCUGCGAAUCCCUUGGAAACGAGGGAGUGCCUUCGGGAGCGCAGAGACAGGUGGUGCAUGGCUGUCGUCAGCUCGUGUCGUGAGAUGUUGGGUUAAGUCCCGCAACGAGCGCAACCCACGUCUUUAGUUGCCAGCAUUCAGUUGGGCACUCUAGAGAGACCGCCGGUGAUAAACCGGAGGAAGGUGUGGAUGACGUCAAGUCAUCAUGCCCCUUACAUCCUGGGCUACACACGUACUACAAUGCUACGGACAAAGGGUUGCAAGCUCGCGAGAGUUAGCUAAUCCCAUAAACCGUGGCUCAGUUCAGAUCGUAGGCUGUAACUCGCCUACGUGAAGGAGGAAUCGCUAGUAAUCGCAGGUCAGCAUACUGCGGUGAAUACGUUCCCGGGCCU